rnacentral:misc_RNA from 1 species
GGGAUGCCCACAUCCAGGCUCCUUAAAUCGGUUGACCUUUGAGGAAGUGUAGAGAUGAAGUCUACAUAACUGUAUAACAAAGUGAAACUCUUCAACGACCACUUAAAGGUGUUCGAUGAAGCCCGUCAAAUUCCUUUGAAACAGCUCUAGCGCCAAACUCUUAUUAGCUUUCAAGGUGGCAAUCUGUUAAUCUCUGCCAUUGACAAACUCUCUAUGAUUUUUGACUAUCACCUCAUAACGAUCUUAAAUCUGUCAAGUUAGCCAAGAUGCUUGAA